rnacentral:rRNA from 1 species
UACCAGCACCCCGAGUGGUCGGGACGUUUUAUUGGGCCUAAAGCAUCCGUAGCCGGUUCUACAAGUCUUCCGUUAAAAUCCACCUGCUUACAAGAUGGGGCUGCGGAAGAUACUAUGGAGCUAGGAGGCGGGAGAGGCAAGCGGGUACUCGAUGGGUAGGGGUAAAAUCCGUUGAUCCAUUGAAGGCCACCAGUGGCGAAGGCGGCUUGCCAGAACGCGCUCGACGGUGAGGGAUGAAAGCUGGGGGGAGCAAAGCCGGG